rnacentral:lncRNA from 1 species
CUUAUGAUGUUCAUAAUAAAAUUGAGAAAGGAAAUGGUGAAUAUGUCAAAGCGACAACCACCCGACCAUAGAGCAAACAACAGCCGAAGGCAACCAAUGGGUCUUCAAUGUAGCGAGAAUUCCCGCACCCGUAGGUUUAUUUAUAUUUAUCAUAUGUUUAGUAGUAAAUACAGUAGUUUUGCAUAUUUGAUAAAUAGCCUGCUGUUUAAUUCAUAUCGCGCAACUUUGAUGCGCACCC